CCUACGGGUGGCAGCAGUGAGGAAUAUUGGUCAAUGGGCGGAAGCCUGAACCAGCCAAGUCGCGUGAGGGAAUAAGGCCCUACGGGUCGUAAACCUCUUUUGCCGGGGAGCAAGGGCCGGGACGCGUCCCGGCCCGGAGAGUACCCGGAGAAAAAGAAUCGGCUAACUCCGUGCCAGCAGCCGCGGUAAUACGGAGGAUGCGAGCGUUAUACGGAUUUAUUGGGUUUAAGGGGUGCGCAGGCGGAAGGUCAAGUCAGCGGUAAAAUUUCGGGGCUCAACCCCGUCGUGCCGUUGAAACUGGCGUUCUUGAGUGAGCGAGAAGUAUGCGGAAUGCGUGGUGUAGCGGUGAAAUGCAUAGAUAUCACGCAGAACUCCGAUUGCGAAGGCAGCAUACCGGCGCUCAACUGACGCUCAUGCACGAAAGCGUGGGUAUCGAACAGGAUUAGAUACCCCAGUAGUC
rnacentral:rRNA from 1 species